AACACACGCAGUUGGCCAGUGAAGCUGUUACUUGGCAAGGUGAGACUCCACCGAAAGCCACUUCCAAAGUCGCUUGGCUGGUGCCAGGAAUUCUGACUUUUGGCAACCCCACCUUCUGCGUCCCCGAACCUGACCGACUGAACGUAGGAGGGAGGGGAAGGAGGACGCGAGAGCCGAGAAGGCGGCAGCCAGCCGGGCUGACCCACCCGAGGCGGCGGAGUCCCAGCGACCAGGGACGCUCCGGGGGCACGGGGACCUCAGCGCAAACCCGGGACGCAGACGCUGUCCCCAGCGACACCCUGCCCACAGCCAAGACUUUUUAAAGUGAGUUCGCUUACCUUCCGAUUUCUACGGCCUCAACUCAGCAAUCAAAAGCAAUCACAGCAGAAUUAAACAAAAAUAAGAUCAGCAGCAGCCAGGUACUCGAGUUGGAAAAUCUUUUCAAAGAACACCCGCUAACAUUUCGAGAUAUUUUAAAAGAAAAAAAAAUUUUUUUUUAAAAUAAAAGCCUCGUGUCUCCACUUCCA
rnacentral:lncRNA from 1 species